UGUCUUCAAUUUAUAAAUCUGUUGCCCUGGUGAUAGAUUCUUUCAAACUUCUAAGUCUGCUGUAUGUAAUUUGUCUUAUAGGCUGCCAUUUGAAUUUCUCUUGGCUUUAUUAAGAAGUAAUGGGGAGCCUGUGUACCCCUUAAUGGAUUCCCCUGGUAGUGGCUCUAACACAACUGUUGUAUGAUUUCACAACAAAGACAUCACCAUUAUAAAGGCUACCUGAUGAUUUCUAUGUAGACAAUUGUAUCAUCUGAAGAUGGAAUUUGUUUCCUCCUUUCUAGUCUACAUGACUUUUAUUUCCUUUGCUUGCCAUAGUGUAGUGACCAAAAUUUCUUGCACUCUACUGAACGAGAACUAUCAGCAACACUUUGCCUUGUUUCUGAUCUUUAAGGGCAAGCAGUCUUUCACUGUUCAAUGCAAUGUAAUAUGUGAACUUUUGGAGAAAGCUACCUUUUAUUACAAGUUUGUUCAGAGUUUUAUAUAAUGUCUGGGUGUUGAAUUUUCUGAAAAGCUCCCCCCAUAUCAUUCUGCAUUAUUUCAUUCCUAUAAUCUGUUGACACACAUUUCUUUAAUACUCAUAGGACUAUUCAGGCUGUCUGCUUUAUCAUGACUGAGUAGGGAGUUUUUGCUCCAUUCUGUGCUAUGGCAUUCAUUUCUUCUAUUAACUAUACCUUUUGGUCAGUGACUGACCACAUACAUGACAGUGAUCUUAAGAUCGUAUUACCUAGUGAUGUCAUAACAGUCUUAAGUUUUUGUGUGGUUUCUGUACAGUAAAAUUGCACUCCCCAGAAUGUAUACCCAUCAUUAAAUGGGAUGUAACUUGAGUAUCUUUAACUUCUCAAGAUGGGCUCCCAGGAGGUGGUUGACUGUAUGCGCUCUAGAAUAAAAUCCUGACACCCCUAGGUAGUUUAUCCAAAGUCCACUUCAGUGACCUCACCUGUAAUUAAAACCCAUAGGAAUUCCCACUUGUGAGCAUCCAAUCAAAACAAUGCUCACAACAGCUUAAAAUGGUGCCAGCGUUAUGGUAUAAUCUCACAAGAUGUCCUUUUUAGGGCCUGAUGCACAGUAGGUACACAGGUACCAUGAACAGUGUCAACUUAAUCCCAGCUAACAGUGGAAAGACUGGUACCCAGUCCAUGUCUUCUAACUUGGAAUCUCGGCCUCCUGUGACAGCAAUGCAGUACAGAAGCCAUGCCCUUCCUUCUAACAUAAGCACAGACUGUGGAGUCAACCAGAGUCUUUGUGCUGUUUCUAGAUGCAUGAGUUAGUAUGAAGAUGUGAACAUCAAACAUUAACAUCUCCAGGACAUCUUAAUGGCUUGCUGGGACAGCCAGUGUGAAGAUUAGUCAGUAAUGUCCUAAAGAACUGAGGACUUCAGACUUUCCAGUGAUUACUACAUUCUGUUGCAUGGAGUCCAAAAAAUUCUCACAGCAAACCUACUCCCUAUGAAAGAGAAUGAGCAUGAAAUGUCAAUGCCUUGGAGUCAGUAUCAGUUGAUGAUUAAAUACUGUGAGAAAAAGCACUGGUGCUUCCUUAGGGCUUGGAAACUUUCCCUAUGAGCAUGGUUCUUCCCUUCUGAAUGCAAAUGUGAGAUAUAUCAAAAUUUUCUUUCUCAUUAUCUUUCAUCUAGACAUUUCUUUUUUGCUUGAUCUCUAUUCCAAGCCACACAAUUCCUGUUCUAUUUCUGGAAUACUUGUUGCUGUUAGCUUGGCAAUGCAUAUAAACAAGAGAAAUCCAAAUAGUGAACUUUAAGUAUAAAUGGGCAAUUGAGAUGAGCAAAUGGCCUUUUCAAAAGUUUAUAUCACAGAAGAUGGGCUCAAACUCCACACUUCCUGGUCUGUGUUUUACUAGUUAUACGGCUUCUUAUAAAAAUAGCAAAUCAGGCAGAGCCAGGCGGAUCUCUGUGAGUUCGAGGCCAGCCUGGGCUACCAAGUGAGUUCCAGGAAAAGGCGCAAAGCUACACAGAGAAACCCUGUCUCGAAAAACCAAAAAAAAAAAAAAAAAAAUAGCAAAUCAAAAACAUUGACUUGAACUGUAGGACUUGCUAAAGUCAGUGGGACAAUUAUAUUACUCUAUAAAUUUAUAAUAUAACCCUAAAAUUGAUUGACAAUGAAUGCAUGCAUGCAUAUUGAAGAAUAUCAGUAAAUAUUAAUAAACUCUAAAUAAUAGAAGUGCCAAUAAUGUUUAAAGGAUAUAUCCAUCUACUUACAGUUUUCCCUUUUUGAUUUGUAUUUUCUUGUCCUAAGGGCUUAUCAGGUAUUGUUAACACAUCUGAAAAAGAACGAAAAGAAAAACCCACCAAGGUCAUAUAAAUUGGAUGGCACUUGUAGCAUUUGGGAAGUGGGCUUUAUAAAUACAUCUCUUGGCCAUGAAUGAAAACACAGUGGCCAAAAGUCCAGGACUUGGACUCUGUGAGUUUGUACAACUAACCAUUUAAUUCAGUAAGUAAGCCUGCCUCUUCUAGCCUUGUUUUGCCAAUCUGUCAAGGGAGGAGUGUUUUGUGACCUAAUGUUUAAAACAUCUAACACUGUGUCCAGCAUAUAGGAAGCAUGAAAGUAAUGGGAAUGUCAUCGAUAUCCUUAACCAUCGUUAGUGCCCUCUUGGCUCUGGUCUCUGGAUACAUCCAUACCCUUGAGUCUUCACCUAGAAACUCUGUGAUUUUUCCCUGUCACUGUUGGAAUGUCUGUGGUAAGAAAUAGAAGUUACAUGUCACCACGCUCCGUACAUUUCAUGCAUAUAAGGUUAAUUUAGGUUGUAGUUAUAAUGCUUAUGUUACGUAUUUCCACUUUUAACUCUGGCUCUUGAUGGCACUUCAAAAAAUAGUAAUUCAGCCUAUCAUUGUUGCAGUCCUAGUUGCUGUUUGUUGACGGUGGGUGUUAAAUACUAGGUACGUCAUACAAAGCUGUGCUUCAUGGCUUGUUGAAAAGGUGGCUUAUACACAUUCUUUGGAGCUGUGUCCUGUUCUCUGAUAGACACUGGGUAAUUUUCCAUUGUUACUUUGCUAUCCACACUGUAUUCUAGAUACCUUUCAUGAAUAAUUACGUAUUUCCUUAAUAAUUCAAUUUGUGAUACUAGAGAAGUAUCUUUUGCAGAAGCCAAGAAAAUUAUAAAGUGGGAAGUGGAAUGAAAAUAAUUUCAAUGAAUUGUAGUGCUUGGCCAGAAUGUAUGUGCACAAAUAUCCAGACUCAGAAGUCUCAGUGAACGGUGUUUAAAAGUAACUGGGCUAGCCUGGCACAGUGGUGCAUGCCUUUAAUCCCAGCACUCGGAAGGUAGAGGCUGGUGGAUCUCUGUGAGGUCAAGGCCAGCCUGGUCUAUAUAAUGGUCUGUUGAGAGAUCCUGUCUCAAAAGACCAAGAAGAAGAAGGAGGAGGAGGAGGAGGAGGAGAAGAAAAGAAGAAGAAGAAGAAGAAGAAGAAGAAGAAGAAGAAGAAGAAGAAGAAGAAGAAGAAGAAAAAGAAGAAGAAGAAGAAGAAGAAGAGAAAGUAAUUGCCUAGCUCCACACUUGUAAUUUAUCUACAGAUGAUGGUAAUUGAAGGAAACUUAUAAGGGUACCCUGUGAACUUUACUAAAUAAACCCUUUAAUGCACUGUAUUUUAUUUUAUAUAAUAUAAAUAUGCCAUGCAUAUCUGUAUAUAAUUUAUUAGGUUAAUUAUAGAAGAUUGGUUUGCAUGAACAAAUUGAAAUACAAUGUAAAGUGUAGCAAAACCACUUUUUUGUUGUUGUUUUGGUUUGGUUUUUGAGACAAGAUCUCUCUAUGCAGCCUUGACUGUCCUGGAGCUUGCUGUGUAGACCAUGCUGGCUUGGAACUCACUAUGUAGACCAGGGUGGCCUGGAACUUAUAGAGAUUUGCCUGCCUCUGCCUCUUGAGUACUGGGAACCAUGUCUGGUACGACCACUUUAUUUUUAAUUUUUAUUUUUUGGGGGGAUUUUUGAGACAAGGUCUCAUGUAAGCCAAGGCUAGCCUCCAUUUAGCUUCAUAGCUGAGGACACUUCUGAACCACUGAUCUUCCUGCCUCUACCUCCCCCAGCUGUACCUGGACUACCACACCCAGCUACUAAAGCCACUUUUAAUUAGAAAUCCUAUUUAUGUAGGGUGUUGUUGUUGUUGAGACCAGUUUUCAUGUAGCCCAGGCUGGCCUCAAACUUGCUGUGUAACGAAACUGACCUUGAACUUCUGAUUCUCCAGCCUCCACCUUCCAAGAGCUGUGAUUACAAGUGUGCUGUAGACGGACUGCUGAGGGUUUCCUGCACGCUCAGUGAGCCUCCUACCACCGGACAACACCCCCAGCCUCAGUGGCCUCAGUGAGCCUCCUACCACGGGACAACACCCCCAGCCUCAGUGGCCUCAGUGAGCCUCCUACCACCGGACAACACCCCCAGCCUCAGUGGCCUCAGUGAGCCUCCUACCACGGGACAACACCCCCAGCCUCAGUGGCCUCACCUGUAAGACAGAACGUCAUUGUCAUGGGUGUUUGUAGAUAAGAUGGAGUGCUUACAGAGUUCUGGGGACCAACUGAAGCAGUUUAAGGCAACAGAGACAUUUUCUUAGCGGAUAGCUCCAUGCUUUGAUUGUUUGAGGCAGAAUUUCACUAGGUAGCCUAGGCUAGCCUGAAACUUGCCAUGUAACCAAAUCUGAACUCAUAAUCCUUCUGCCUUUGCCACCUGCCUGGAUUACAGGCUCAUGUCACCAUUUCCAGCCCGCUCUUUCAUUGUAAAACAGGAAAACUGAGGGGAUGGGGCUGUAGCUCAGUGACAGAGCACUGACUUAGCAUGCAGGAGGCCCUGGGUUUGCUCUCCAUAUACAUGGAAAAUUGAAGCAGUUACAAGACAAUGACUUGAGGUCACAGUCACAGUGGCAGACCUGAGCUAAGACCUACUUCAUAACCUCAUUUUAGAUGAAUAACUUCUCAUUUCUGACACAUAGUUGAAAACAAUAGAACAUGAAAUCUGGUUUUGCCAGUUUACUCCAAAAGGCCUUCUCUGGAGGUUCUCGAGGUAUCCAGGAGUUUUGUGCUACUAGAACAGAAUACUCGAGGCUGGAUACAUUAUCAGGAACAGAAAUGUAUUUCUUAGUUUUAGAAGCCAAUAAUUCCAAGAUCCAAGGACCAGGAUCUGGUGGGGCUUUCUUACCGAAUCACUUCAUGGCAGGAAGCAGACAAACGAGAGGGGACCAGGCUCACACUACUAAAACAAAGCCAUGCCUGCAACAAACCCACUCUUGGAAUAACAGUAUUAAAUCAUUCACCCUAUUCUCAUGGCAGAAUAAUGUCUCAUUAGGGCCCAUCUCCCAACACUUCUAUCUUGGGAAUAAUGCUUCCAACAUAUGCUUUCUGUGAAACAUAGUAAAGCCAUAGCAUUCUAAUCCUGGCCAUCAAAAUUCAGACAUUUUUACAUGAAAAAUGCAUUUAUUCUAUCCAGUAGUCUUCAUUUCUUUUGGCCAUUGUGCUGGUUUGAAAGAGAAUGGCCCCCAAAAGGAGUGGCACAUUAGGAGGUGUGGCUUUGUUGGAGAAGGUGUGGUCCUGUUGGAGGAAGCGUGUCACUAUGGAGGUGGGGUUUGAGGGUUCAUAUGUUGCUGCCAUUGGGACAAGACCCUACCUGGACUUCCCCCCUCCCCCACCCUGGUACCUUGCCAACUGUGUGGACCUGCAUAAUUAGCAUAUAUGGUUCCUACAGAGUGUGACUUUGGCCUUCUCAUGCAGUGGCAUAGACCAUACUCAGGAUGGCUGAAUCAUGACUGGAGUGACUGAGGAGCAUUGUGACAGAUGGGGGAAGCAGGUAUUUGUGGUGGCACAGGGAAGCAAAUGCUGAGAUUCUGCAAACUCUUGGAAUGCCUUUGGAGUUCUCAUCCCCAUUAUCUUGAUGAAGAGAGAGUUCCUUUCUGUUCGUUACAGUCUCCUUUGCUCCCCAAACAUGCCUUUUCAUUCUUAACAUGAUCAGAUAAUAAAUGUUCUUCAUCUUGCCA